GCGUGGAGGCUGUGGUUCUGCUGGGCUCUGUUGGGUUAGCUUGGCUUGAUUCCAGGCUGUGUUUUGGUCCAGAUCUGCUCUAUGUAGCUCCUCAUUCUGGGACCAAUGGCCCCCCAGGUUUUAAUCUUUUCAUGGUGGAUGGCACAAGUGCAAGAGAUCAAGCUAAACCACAGAGGCACAUUUACAGUCUCUGCUGACAUCGCACCCACUACCACUACUGGCCAUAGUAAGUCACAUGGCCAUGACUGACAUCAGUGAGUCAGGAAGAACAGUCCACCUACAGUGGAGGUUACCUCUGGGGGUUACAUAUUUAUUGAAGAAGUCCAUGCUGCAAGUGGAAUGAUUUAUAUCCCUGGGAGAUCUCACUAAACGGAAGAUUGCAAAGCACAUUUUUGAAGAAAGACGAAACCGGGGAAAACAGCAAGAAAUGGAGGAAGACAGAUUGGCGAUGAUAUUGCUUCAGUGCUUGAAUCUAGGCAUGCCUGAAGUCUUAUCUAUCAAUUAGAUUCCAGCUCAGGACCGGCUUCUCCUAGAAGGCAUUGCUUCAGCUGCUCUCGCAAACAUUCUUACCCAC